AUGCUUGCUUCAGCAGCACAUAUACUAAAACUGGAACAACACAGAAAAGAUUAGUGUGGCUUUUGCGCAAGGAUGACAUGCAAAUUCAUGAAGCAUUCUAUAUUGAA
ensembl:snRNA U6 U6 spliceosomal RNA